AGUGGCAGCAUGUUUGUUGCUGUUGAUCUUCAAAACUAAACAACAAUCGCCCUCAGCAAAACUCUCAAUGAAAAACGAACCAAUUUUGUUUUGAAAGGGAAAACGAUUAAGCUACCCUUUAAGUAGACUUGAACUAAAAGAUUUUCCAAGAAAACGGAGACUUUCAAAUCUGUGAAGAUUGCAUGAUCUAAAGCAUUUGAAGACGACAUUUUUUCUGUUAAAACUACCCAAAGUAUUUUGGAAACCUCUUUGAUAUUAGGAGAAAUAAUUGUGAUGGUUUUGAGCAUUGUCUUGUUCUGACAUAACGUCUGGGUGGCUGACUGAAUAUAAGGUGAGGCAACCAUUUCAUUAACUUUUGAUCACCUCGCCGAAAGACUGGCAACAGAUGCAGUAACUGGAUUAAAUUAAUACUUAGGAACAACUGAACCAAGCUGAAACGAUGGGGGAACUGAAUAAGCACAAUCUUUUGGAUAAUCUUGCUCAAGAAUAUAAUAAAAUCAAGAUGUCGCACCAAGGAGUCAUUUUUCAAAAAAAACUUUGAUGUGCAUUUGCCAAGGUCUGUCUUCAUGAAUCUAUCCUAGUUGACAAAGUUUUGAACUCCGAAUGACAUUGAAAUUUCGCAAAGCGAAGUAAUUCUAGUUCUGAAUUCUAAAACAGGAGAAAGCGCUGACAGUAAAUUCAACUUUUAAAUUUUAAAAGCUUUGAUCUUUUUAUCAAGAUAAGACAAUUAUAAACUAAAAGUUUGCAAGAAAGACUCAACAUUUUUGUGGGAGCAUUCAGCUUCAUGUAAAAAACUCGCUUAAGAAUCAGAAAAGUGAAUCACAAAUAAUAUUCAUACCAAGACAAAAAAUAAUUUUAGCAUCUAAAGGUAGUCAAAGUUAAAUGCUGAACGUUUGUAUGGCUUCUAUGCUGAUUGAAUUUUUAUUGUGAGUAAUCAAGUAGUGUCUUAUGAAUAGAUUCUGUUGUCUUCAUGGAAAUGUUGUUUUCUGCAAGUCCUUUGGAAGAAACGAGCAACACAGAGACCCAAGCAUUUUUAAAUUGAUGAUAAAGAAUCCAAUGCUGUCAUAGGAAUCGUGUAAGCAAAUUCAACUCUAAACUCUACACAAUUUUGUUUUGAUGUCAGUACAUUUACGUGUAAAAAAUUUGUACAAGGACAAAACAUCCAGGAAUCCGCAAACACUGUAAGACCCUUUUAUGAAAUACUUUACCAAAUUAAAUCCGAACUUCAGAAACGUUUCAGCACUUUUGUCUUAGUGUUAGUACAUUUACGUACAAAAUACGCAAAAGGACAACAUCUCCAAGAAUCAAACACUAUAAGACUGUUUUAUGAAAUACUUAACCAAAUUAGAUUCUUACAUGUUUAAAAUAUUUCGAGAUGUCGUUAAAUAGACUAAAAAAAUGAUGUUUGAAGUUUGCUUCAAAUGUCUUGGAAAACCACUAUGACUCAAAUCAUGACCCGCAAAAUAAACUUGUACAAAUUUCGUAGACAAUCCAGUCCGUAGCGUAAAAGAAGAGAUUAAUAUUUGAAAUCAGAUUUUCAUAAGGAUAACAUAUCGUUCAACAUGAGUCCAGUCUAAGCCCAAGAAAACAAUUUCUGGAAAACUUAUAUUGUAGAGAAAAAACUGGCAAAACAUUUUGAGAAAAAGCUUCGCUCUCAUGAUCAUGAUAGUAAUUCAAAAUAAAAGCUAAAUGUGAAGAUAACAGGUCAAAAUAACUAUUCUUAAAGAAAUAUCCUUCGAGUUUGUUCAAACAA